rnacentral:rRNA from 1 species
UGGGGAAUAUUGGACAAUGGGCGCAAGCCUGAUCCAGCCAUGCCGCGUGAGUGAUGAAGGCCCUAGGGUUGUAAAGCUCUUUCACCGGUGAAGAUAAUGACGGUAACCGGAGAAGAAGCCCCGGCUAACUUCGUGCCAGCAGCCGCGGUAAUACGAAGGGGGCUAGCGUUGUUCGGAAUUACUGGGCGUAAAGCGUGCGCAGGCGGUUUUGUAAGACAGAGGUGAAAUCCCCGGGCUCAACCUGGGAAUUGCCUUUGUGACUGCAAGGCUUGGGUGCGGCAGAGGGGGAUGGAAUUCCGCGUGUAGCAGUGAAAUGCGUAGAUAUGCGGAGGAACACCGAUGGCGAAGGCAAUCCCCUGGACCUGUACUGACGCUCAUGCACGAAAGCGUGGGGAGCAAACA